UAAACCUGACUUGAUACAUCUGUCCUGCUGGCAGCCGGCGGCCACCAGGAUUCCAGCUGGCUCUUUGCCUCUUCUGAGAGACUCAGUCAGACAAGGAGCUCCCAAAGCCCUUCACUCACACUGAAGAAGGCAUCCUGCCCAAGUCAGCCACAGAGAAGUUGGCAGACAGUAGGCCCAAGUUCGAUAUUCCAGGUGCCCAAGGAAGACACACACAUCCAACAAUGAGAACAAGAUCGGAGAGAGCAGAUUCCCUGAGCCCUAGCUCUUCAGAAUACCGUUCUCCUACAACCACGUGCAACAAAGUCUUCACUUUCAUCCUGAUCUGCUUCUGCUAGCCGAGAUGAUACAACAUAAAUCUAAGUUGCUGAUCUCCAGAUUCCAGAAUAAUAUGUUCAUUUUUUUUUUUUUUUUUUUUUUUUUGCAUGGGAGAUCCAGCCUAGAACAUCCUGUACCUCCCUUUCUAGCUGAAGCACUUUAGCAUCACCGACUUUAAAGGAAGUUCACCAGCAUCCAGGAGUAUGGACCCCUCACCCUGUUCUCAGCCCCUGCACUCAGUUCAGGCUGCUGACCAUGUGGAAGGAGUUCAAACCACCUCUGGCCUCAGAGGUGGUCCUCUCAGAGAAGAGCACACCAAUUGGUUGCCCAGUGCCAAAAGAUGUGAGGAAAGGAGCCGUGGUUGGAAUUGGCACCACUGAUUUCCAGGCUGCCGAUCGUCCUAAUGUGUAAUGGAGAAGGCAAAGGCAAACUCUUUCUGGGUGUCCCUGUAGGGCACUGCUUAGAAAAGGCAAACACAUUAGACCAUUUACUCCAGAGUGCUAUCAUGGUUCUCACAUGAUAGACGCCGAAAUGAGAUCUUUUGGAAUCAGAGUGACAUGCCCAAGCUUCCUCAGUUGAGUUGGAAUUGGAGCUCAGGUUCGACUUCACCACCUGUUGCAUCUUCGUAUUGACUCACACCAAGUCCAAGGUCAGAAGCCUCCCGUGAUCUCCAUCUGCCCUGGAAACAGACUGGCAGUGCCUGCCAGAGGGUCUAGUCCUGAACUGGCACCAUUGCCACAGUUUGAACAAUUGACUGACACAUACAAAUGACCCUGCAGAGUUGGACUAGCUGGAUGCAAAACAUGGCUUCCCAGGAACACAUUCUAGGCCAUCAAAUGCUCUCGAUUGUCCUUUUCUGUCUUCUUCUUCUUCUUCUUCUUUCAAAUUCCAGACAGUCUGAAAGCCAGCGAGUCAUGGCACCCUUUGUGAGACAAACCCCUUGGAAUUGUUUAUGACCCAAAAUAAACUCGAAGUAUAUGAAGAGCUGUUAUGAAAGGCACUGUGUAGGAAGAUCUGGGGGAAAUGAAAACAGCUUACUCUAAGUCUUUCCCUAGCUUUCUCUUACAGUAAUUGGUGGAGUUACCUUCUAGCAAAGAAGCAAGUGUACAAAGCUACUUAAGACUCUGAUUCAGAAUGUCCCGAUGUGGGGCACACCUGUGCUCGGGAGGGAGGGAAGGCAGGGGGUGGAAGAGAAAGAAAGAGCUCUCAAGCCGGAACAAAUGGAAGCUCUUCAUGGGUGGGGCUCAAAAUGCUGGUCUCCAAGAUAGAUAUCUCUGUAAGCUAAGGCUCAGCUAUGAGAGAACGAAGGACCCAGCCUAAAUUAGUCUAAAGCAAAAUAUUAAUGCAUGGAUCCUGUAAUUCACAAGCCUAAAAAGGAGUUGUUGAAACUUGAAUGUUUGUAUCUUCUUCAAAUUGCUGUUGAAAGCCUACCCCACAAUGUGACAGCAUUUGGAUGUGUGGUCUUGGGGAGAUAGUUAGGAUUUAGAUGAGGGUAUGAGGUGAGAGUCCCGCGGUGGGCGUAGUAUUCUUUGCCUUUAUAGGAAGAAGUCAAGGCUUCCUCUCUGCCUCUGUUUCCUGUCCUCUCUACAUCUUCGUCUUCUUUUUUUCCCUUCAACCCCUUUCCCAUCUGAUGACGUUGUUGGAAGGCAGCUAUCUGCUGAGCAGGAACCACCAGAACCCGUCCUUACUGGCACACUGAUCUCGGGCUUUUUAGACUUCAGAAUCAUGAUAAAUAACUAUCUGUGGAUUAAGCUACCAGAUUUAUGAGAUAUUUUGUUAUAGAAACCCAAGCAGAUCUAACUUUAUCUUAGUUUAGGCACGACUGACCAGGGGGCUUCUAAGCUUACUGUUGGAUAAUGUUGUGCCCCAUCAAACCAAAUAGUUCUGGGGUACAUUGCCUCAAAUCCAGACUAGAAGAGUAGUUAGUCUAGGCAGAGGCAUUUCCUCAUGUCUCAGAAUUUGCAGAGACAUCUCACUGGCCGCAUGGGGUCAUUGCCAUCACGAACUAAUCAGUGCCCAGGGAGUGUGAUGUAUUGAUUGUCCUAUGCCCAGACCACACACUUCACCUGAUAUGAAUGAGGUGAGUGGAUUAAAUCCCCAGGUGACGGUGGUGAAAGCGGGCGCUUGAGGCAGAAAAGAAAUCAUGACUCCAGACAUUCCACAGAGCUUGAGCCAGGGUCAGGCUACAUCUCAAAUCUAGUCCCCAGAGCUAAGCGUUCUGCAGGAUAAACAGAGGGACACCGGCAAGUAGCAGGCUGAUGUGGCCAAUCGCUGGGAAGCCGAGUUUGUGAUCAAGGCUUGAAACAUUUGACACCAAACCCUAAGUUGGAAGGAAGGGUAUUAGAUGAAAAUUCCUUCCUUAUGUCUCUUAGCUCCAAGUCCAGUGCCUCAGGAUCUGCAAAUGUUGCUUUCUCCCCUAGACCUGCUUCCUAAUGAAAUAGCUUGCAGGUGGCUCUCUCUUUACACUGUGCAUCCAGUCCUCAAACACUGUGUGUGAACCGAGUUGAGGAGUUUGUUGUUGCCAUUGUUUGUUUUUCCAGACUUGUGGCACAGAAAGGCAUUCCAGAAUCUGUCUGUGGUAUGAGAAAGAAAACUUUAUUUUCUCUUUCAGUCUGAGUUGUGGCCUAGUGUUUUAGUUUUGUUUGUGUAAAGUGGAUUGUGUUAGGAUCCUUACACACACACACACACACACACACACACACACACGCGCGCGCGCGCGCGCGCAAAUCUACCGCCACCUUUAUCGAUUUUUUUUUUCCUGUCUGAGUUCACACUUGUGGGAGUGAACCUCCUUAAGUUCACUUCCCCUGACUGUUCCUCUGACAACAAAUUCCAUAAACAAAUGGCCUUCCAGCAACUCCACAGCAGAAAGAUGCCGGCAGCCAACAGGCCCUGAGAAAACAAACAAAAUUCUUCUCAAUGUCUGUUUUCACUUGAUCAAAGUUUGGCCUCCUGACCAGAUCAGUGGUAGCAAAGUCCUGCUCAGUGAGGCAGAUUUCAGCCUGGAUCCUAAAGCGUUCUGGCCAAGGGACUCCUUUCCUGCGCCUGUCCUGAAGUAUUGAUUGGGAAUGGUUUUUGAAUCUGUUGUUGAAAGCUGGUGUUCAGCUCAGACUAACAGGAGGAACUUUCCAGUCUCCUGUCCCUUCCUGUGCCUCUUUGACUAGUUACAGCUGGAGCUUCCUGGCAUGGGGCAAAGCCAGGCAGUCUUACUUUGCCUCAUGACCUGGAAGCCAUCACCCAGUGUGGAGGUAGGAACCACUCCCCUCCUUACCACCAUUCAAAUGAGUGUUGAUUUGGAAAUGGCCACUGUGUGUCACACCCAAAGGGAAGUGUCUUGGCUGUCACCUUGACAGUGUCUAGAAGCAACUAAAACAUCAUCUGCUGGGGCCCUCAUGUGAGGGAUUUUCUUGGUCAGGUUGUUAGGAGCCGGUAGACCCACCCCGAAUGUGGCAGCAGCCUAGCUUGAAGGACGUGAAGAAGAAACUUGGUCUUUGUCUGUUUGUCCCCACUCUUGCUGGGAAGUUCAUGUGUCCUGUUGCUGUGUUCUUUCUUCAUCAAUAUUCCUACCAUCCUCUUCCGGAUUCCAGCGGAGACUGCAGACCAGGUGGUCUCCACGAAGUCUCCAGUCUUUCAGGGCUGGAUCAAGACGGCUGAGACAUAUAGCCCUGUGGAUUGAACACACUAGAUUCUUGGCCUCUCCAGUGUGAGGCAGUCAUGGCUGGUCUAGCUGGACUGCAUCAUAUAAGCCAGUCUAAUAAAUCCUCUUUUGAUAUAUA